UACAGAGGGGGCAAGCGUUGUUCGGAAUUACUGGGCGUAAAGGGCGCGUAGGCGGCCCGCUAAGUCGAACGUGAAAUCCCCGAGCUCAACUCGGGAACUGCGUCCGAUACUGGUGGGCUUGAAUCCGGGAGAGGGAUGCGGAAUUCCAGGUGUAGCGGUGAAAUGCGUAGAUAUCUGGAGGAAUACCGGUGGCGAAGGCGGCAUCCUGGACCGAGAUUGACGCUGAUGAGCGAAAGCUAGGGGAGCAAACGGG
rnacentral:rRNA from 1 species